AGCGAAAUAGUGUAACUGGUAAAAUACUAGUCUCAUGAACUGGUGAUAAAGGUUCGAAUCCUUUUUUCGCUC
rnacentral:tRNA from 2 species